AGUAAUGUCUCGUGGAGGACCGAACUCACUAGCGUUGAAAAGCUAGGGGAUGAGCUGUGGAUAGCGGUGAAAUGCCAAUCGAACUCGGAGAUAGCUGGUUCUCCCCGAAAUGCCUUUAGGGGCAGCCUCGGGCGUUCAAUCACGAGGGUAGAGCACUGAAUGGGCUAGGGGGCUUCCCGCUUACCAACCCCAAUCAAACUCCGAAUCUCGUGAUUCCAGAGCCCGGGAGUGAGACUGCGAGGGCUAAGCUUCGUGGUCAAAAGGAAAACAGUCCGGACCGUCAGCUAAGGUCCCUAAAUCCAAGCUAAGUGGUAAAGGUUGUGGAGUCGCAUAGACAACCAGGAUGUUGGCUCAGAAGCAGCCAUCAUUGAAAGAGUGCGUAACAGCUCACUGGUCAAGUGAUCCUGCGCCGAAAAUUCAGCGGGGCUCAAGCUUGGUACCGAAGCUACGGAUUUGCCAGCCGGUUCGCCGGCUGGUGAGUGGUAGGGGAGCGUCCUGUUCGCUGCGAAGGUCGACCGUGAGGACGGCUGGAGCGGACGGGAGUGCGAAUGUCGGCAUGAGUAGCGAGAUGUGGGUGAGAAACCCACACGCCGUAAGCCUAAGGUUUCCUGAGGAAGGCUUGUCCGCUCAGGGUUAGUCGGGCCUAAGCCGAGGACGAAAGUCGUAGGCGAUGGACAUCCGGUUGAUAUUCCGGAACCACCAGAGAUCGUUUGCACCGCAAGGUGUCGCCUGGCAGAGGCGAUCCGUGGCUGGUCGGGCGCAAGUCCGAUCGAAGCGGUGAGCCGACCCCAGGUGAGAGCAAGGGCAUGACCCAGCAUGGUAGUUCGAGCGCGUUUUGGCUAUACGCGUCUAAGCCGGUAGGGGGAGUGGACAGGCAAAUCCGUCCGCUCAUCAACCCCGAGAAGCGAAUGAGAGCGGCAUCUGCUGCAAUUCGAGUGAGCCAAGCUGGCAAGAAAAGUGUCUAGCGAGAUCAAAGGUGUCCGUACCGUAAUCCGACACAGGUAGGCGGGUAGAGAAUACCAAGGCGAUCGGGAGAACCCUCGUUAAGGAACUCGGCAAAAUGGCCCCGUAACUUCGGGAGAAGGGGCGCCUCGCGACUCGUAGCUUGCUAUGGGUCGAUCGAGGCCACAGUGAAAUGGCCCAGGCGACUGUUUAGCAAAAACACAGGUCUGUGCGAAAGCGAAAGCUGACGUAUACGGGCUGACGCCUGCCCAGUGCCGGAAGGUUAAGAGGAGGGGUGCAAGCUCUGAAUCGAAGCCCCGGUAAACGGCGGCCGUAACUAUAACGGUCCUAAGGUAGCGAAAUUCCUUGUCGGGUAAGUUCCGACCCGCACGAAUGGCGUAACGAUCUGGGCGCUGUCUCAACGAGGGAUCCGGCGAAAUUGAAGUACCUGUGAAGAUGCAGGUUACCCGCGCUAGGGCAAAAAGACCCCGUGGAGCUUUACUGCACCCUGAUAUUGGAUUGGGGUUCAGCAUGUGUAGGAUAGGUGGGAGGCUGUGAAACUGGGGCGCUAGCCUCGGUGGAGCCGACGUUGAAAUACCACCCUUGUUGGAUUUCGGUUCUAACCGCGACCCGUGAUCCGGGCGCGGGACAGUGUCAGGCGGGCAGUUUGACUGGGGCGGUCGCCUCCUAAAGUGUAACGGAGGCGCCCAAAGGUUCCCUCAGGCUGAAUGGAAACCAGCCGUAGAGUGCAAAGGCAUAAGGGAGCUUGACUGCGAGACCCACAAGUCGAGCAGAGACGAAAGUCGGGCUUAGUGAUCUGGUACCUCCGAGUGGAAGGGGUAUCACUCAACGGAUAAAAGCUACCCCGGGGAUAACAGGCUGAUGGUGCCCAAGAGUUCACAUCGACGGCACCGUUUGGCACCUCGAUGUCGGCUCGUCGCAUCCUGGGGCUGAAGUAGGUCCCAAGGGUUUGGCUGUUCGCCAAUUAAAGCGGUACGCGAGCUGGGUUCAGAACGUCGUGAGACAGUUCGGUCCCUAUCUGCCAUGGGCGUUGGAGAUUUGAGAGGGGCUGCUCCUAGUACGAGAGGACGGAGUGGACGAACCGCUGGUGUGCCAGUUGUCCUGCCAAGGGCAUCGCUGGGUAGCUAUGUGCGGUCGGGAUAAGCACUGAAAGCAUCUAAGUGCGAAGCUCGCCUCAAGAUGAGGUUCCCCACCGGGUCAACCGGGUAAGACCGCAGGUAGACCACCUGUUUGAUAGGCGGCAUGUGGAAGUCGGGUGACCGGCGAAGCUGAGCCGUACUAAUGGUCGAGGGCUUGACCAC
rfam:Chloroflexi bacterium CSP1-4 XT10_C0027, whole genome shotgun sequence.